rnacentral:rRNA from 1 species
GUAGGUGGCAAGCGUUGUCCGGAAUUAUUGGGCGUAAAGCGCGCGCAGGCGGUCCUUUAAGUCUGAUGUGAAAGCCCACGGCUCAACCGUGGAGGGUCAUUGGAAACUGGGGACUUGAGUACAGAAGAGGAAAGCGGAAUUCCAAGUGUAGCGGUGAAAUGCGUAGAGAUUUGGAGGAACACCAGUGGCGAAGGCGGCUUUCUGGUCUGUAACUGACGCUGAGGCGCGAAAGCGUGGGGAGCAAACAGGGAUUAGAUACCCUGGUAGUCCACGCCGUAAACGAUGAGUGCUAAGUGUUAGGGGGGUUUCCCGCCCCUUAGUGCUGCAGCUAACGCAUUAAGCACUCCGCCUGGGGAGUACGGCCGCAAGGCUG